CAGAGAAGGAUGAGAUCACUAUCUGUGUGCGUUUCAGGGACAGCCGGAGAAUGGCCUCCUGAUGAACAGGGUCCACCCUAAGGAGCCUUACUGAUGAUGCUUACGGAGAUAAGUUGGCUCUUCCAUACUGGCAGAUUUGUUUGUUGAGAACACAUGCUAGUUGAAGGCCCACACUAACCCAGAGGGCCCCCUUAACUAAAGCAACAGAAAAGGAAGAGGAAGAGGAAAAUUGAGGAGGAAGGCCCUUGCUGUUCAGCGUGAUCCACAGACCAGCCACCCCAGAAUCACAUGAGAGCUUUUUGGAAAUGAACUGGAAGUUAUACUUCAGAUAUACUGAGUCAGAAUCUGCACUUAAACAUGGU